rnacentral:rRNA from 1 species
UACGUAGGUGGCAAGCGUUGUCCGGAUUUAUUGGGUUUUAAGGGUGCGUAGGCGGCUUUGUAAGUCAGUGGUGAAAUAUGGCAGCUUAACUGUCAAGGUGCCAUUGAUACUGCGGAGCUUGAGUACAGAUGAGGUAGGCGGAAUUGACGGUGUAGCGGUGAAAUGCUUAGAUAUCGUCAAGAACACCUAUAGCGAAGGCAGCUUACUAGGCUGUAACUGACGCUGAGGCACGAAAGUGUGGGGAUCAAACAGG